rnacentral:rRNA from 1 species
AUUGAACGCUGGCGGCAUGCCUUACACAUGCAAGUCGAACGGUAACGGGCCUUCGGGUGCCGACGAGUGGCGAACGGGUGAGUAAUAUAUCGGAACGUACCUUUCAGUGGGGGAUAACGUAGCGAAAGUUACGCUAAUACCGCAUAUUCUGUGCGCAGGAAAGCAGGGGACCUUCGGGGCUUGAGCUGAUUGAGCGGCCGAUAACAGAUUAGCUAGUUGGUGAGGUAAAGGCUCACCAAGGCGACGAUCUGUAGCGGGUCUGAGAGGAUGAUCCGCCCCACGGGAACUGAGACACGGUCCAGACUCCUACGGGAGGCAGCAGUGGGGAAUUUUGGACAAUGGGGGCAACCCUGAUCCAGCCAUGCCGCGUGAGUGAAGAAGGCCUUCGGGUUGUAAAGCUCUUUCGGCCGGGAAGAAAUCGUAUGGGCUAAUACCCUGUGCGGAUGACGGUACCGGCAUAAGAAGCACCGGCUAACUACGUGCCAGCAGCCGCCGUAAUAC